GACGUAGGGCGCGAGCGUUGUCCGGAUUUAUUGGGCGUAAAGAGCUCGUAGGCGGCUUGUUGCGUCGACCGUGAAAACCCGUGGCUCAACUGCGGGCUUGCGGUCGAUACGGGCAGGCUAGAGUUCGGUAGGGGAGACUGGAAUUCCUGGUGUAGCGGUGAAAUGCGCAGAUAUCAGGAGGAACACCUGUGGCGAAGGCGGGUCUCUGGGCCGAUACUGACGCUGAGGAGCGAAAGCGUGGGGAGCGAACAGG
rnacentral:rRNA from 1 species